rnacentral:rRNA from 1 species
AUUGAACGCUGGCGGCAGGCUUAACACAUGCAAGUCGAGCGGGGGAAGGUAGCUUGCUACCGGACCUAGCGGCGGACGGGUGAGUAAUGCUUAGGAAUCUGCCUAUUAGUGGGGGACAACAUCUCGAAAGGGAUGCUAAUACCGCAUACGUCCUACGGGAGAAAGCAGGGGAUCUUCGGACCUUGCGCUAAUAGAUGAGCCUAAGUCGGAUUAGCUAGUUGGUGGGGUAAAGGCCUACCAAGGCGACGAUCUGUAGCGGGUCUGAGAGGAUGAUCCGCCACACUGGGACUGAGACACGGCCCAGACUCCUACGGGAGGCAGCAGUGGGGAAUAUUGGACAAUGGGGGGAACCCUGAUCCAGCCAUGCCGCGUGUGUGAAGAAGGCCUUAUGGUUGUAAAGCACUUUAAGCGAGGAGGAGGCUACUUUAGUUAAUACCUAGAGAUAGUGGACGUUACUCGCAGAAUAAGCACCGGCUAACUCGGUG